rnacentral:rRNA from 1 species
GCAGUAGCCGCGGGAAUACAGAGGGUGCGAGCGUUAAUCGGAUUUACUGGGCGUAAAGCGUGCGUAGGCGGCUUCUUAAGUCGGAUGUGAAAUCCCUGAGCUUAACUUAGGAAUUGCAUUCGAUACUGGGAAGCUAGAGUAUGGGAGAGGAUGGUAGAAUUCCAGGUGUAGCGGUGAAAUGCGUAGAGAUCUGGAGGAAUACCGAUGGCGAAGGCAGCCAUCUGGCCUAAUACUGACGCUGAGGUACGAAAGCAUGGGGAGCAAACAGGAUUAGAUACCAGCGUAGUCCCUGUCUCUUAUAC